GACGAAGGAUGCAAGCGUUAUCCGGAUUCAUUGGGUUUAAAGGGUGCGUAGGCGGAUUUACAAGUCAGUGGUGAAAUCUCCCAGCUUAACUGGGAAACUGCCAUUGAAACUGUUUAUCUUGAGUACAUUUGAGGCGGGCGGAAUGUGUCAUGUAGAGGUGAAAUUCUUAGAUAUGACACAGAACACCAAUUGCGAAGGCAGCUCGCUAAACUGUAACUGACGCUGAGGCACGAAAGCGUGGGGAUCAAACAGG
rnacentral:rRNA from 1 species